AUAAAUGGCAGUGCCAGUGUAGAAACACGAGCAGGAAACGAGAAGGAAAGAAAUACUAUCAUAGGAGCAGCUUGCAUGAAAACCAUGAAGACAGCGGGAAACACAGGUUCUCCUGCGUCACUGCAGCCAAACGUCCUGAAAACCGGAAUGCCAGAGUUGCCAUCUGCGCUAAAGACGCCAUCAGUGUUACACCUCGAGAGAUUCGCAGCAACGUUCACGAACAUGGCGCGUCUCCAGGGCUCCGGAGGACGGCUCCAAUGUGCAAGACAUUAAUGGAUACAUGUAAGAAAGCUUGAAUAAAUGUAUUGGUUGUCA